GUAGGGUAAAACUGAGAUUAGCUCUCAUAUUCAAGUUUAUGUUCUGCUUGUUCAACAGUUGUUUAGUUAAUUGCUCUUAAACACAUUUGGAGAGGAUUUGAAUUGCUAUCUUUAUUCUCAAUUCUUAUCAUUGUGGCUCAGCUGACUUUU